rnacentral:lncRNA from 1 species
CCACCGUCAACCCCGACGGCACCCUACAGUACAGAACGGUCUAACACUACUGUCAAAACACACUCGGCUCCUCAGCGCGAGCGUAAAUUCAACCUACACUCAGCUGGGUAUCAACCUCUCACUAACCGCGGUGAUAUAGAAAUCUGGGUCCACCGUCAAUCCCAACAGCACCCAACAAUCCAAACGCUACUGUACAACAAGCUCGGCCCCUAGCACGAGCGUAAUGUCAGCCUACUCUAAACUAAGUAUCCACUACGCACUAACCGUGAUGAUAUAAAAGUACAUCAGCUCCCGUAGCAAAAUCUGGUAACUUUUCAAAAAAUGACAGUGUAGGUUUAACGAGUUUUCUCCUAAGUCAAAUCCCAGUUUCACAUAUAUAAUUCAUCUAA